GUACCUUUGCCCCACCUCUGGAUUGUUGACCUCUGCCUACCCUGAGCCUGCCGUCCGGUACUGUUUCCCAACCUCUGGUUUACUGACCCCCUACCUGCCUUGACUUGUCUAUUGCCACCCCCUGUUGGAAUAUUAAACCAAUUUGACAUAUCUGGGUCUUACCUUGAUUCCUGAUAGGAUUGCUAUAAGGCCUGGUGAGAUCAAUUUCCAUGGAAUACCACAUUGAUGGAGAGACAUUGUCAUUAGACCAAAGAAUGAAAGCACAAAACUAUUAGUGUUAACAGCUGUAGCAAACAGCCCAGCAAAAUGACACACCAAUUGGCCUUCAUCAUGACAUAUCAACUGGCCAGCAACAGGACACAUCAGGCAGUCCUCUAUACUCAGGGGCUCCUGAAUGGUGCAGUGGUCUAACGCACUGAAUCACAAUGCUAGAGGUGUCACUGCAGACCUGGGGCAUCCCAUAUAGGGUGGUGCACAAUUUGCCCAGCGUCUUCUGGGUUUGGCUGGGGAAGGCCAUCAUUGUAAUUAUGAAUUUGUUCUUAACUGACUUGCCUAGCUAAAUAAAAUACUGUUGUCAGAAUCGCUGAUAGCAUAGCA